UACGAAGGUCCCAAGCGUUAUCCGGAUUUAUUGGGUUUAAAGGGUGCGUAGGCGGAUUAUUAAGUCAGUGGUGAAAGCUCUCAGCCUAACUGAGAAAUUGCCAUUGAUACUGAUGAUCUUGAGUACAUUUGAAGUGGGCGGAAUGUGUCAUGUAGUGGUGAAAUACUUAGAUAUGACACAGAACACCGAUUGCGUAGGCAGCUCGACUAAACUGUAACUGACGCUGAGGCACGAAAGCGUGGGGAGCAAACAGG
rnacentral:rRNA from 1 species